rnacentral:lncRNA from 1 species
ACAGUGCAAAAGGGAAGUCCCUGUUGCCUUCCCAUGCAAACUGUAGGGCGCUUACAGCUGCUGGGAGAGGAAAGGAAAGAAGAAAUACAAGCCUGUGACCCGGAUCCAACCCGCGGCGCACAGACCCCGGCUCUGGGCACCCCUGGUGAGCGCCUUCUGCGCCAGAGCUCCGUACAGCACCAGCCCGCGCUCUCCCCCAGCUUCUGUUCAUUUGCUGCAGUCCUGACGGGUCAGUUGCCUGAGCAUCCAUGCUGCCAUCCAUACAAACCCAGGCACGCAGAGAUGUACAUCCUUUACCCAGGGUGACACCAUGUGGAGCUGAAUCCAAGUCCGGGAGUCUGAUGACCGUGUCUGGGCUCUGACCGCGCAGCCGUCUCACAGUGAAACAAAUUGCGGACUGGCCUUGUCCUGAGUGGCCUUAGGAAGCUGCAGUGGCCUGCAGUCUCCUGGCCAGUCUGUAGAAUUUGGCAAAGAUGAGGCACCUUAUAGCCUUACAUGUUCUUAUUUUUCUUUCCUUUUCUCUUCUUUAUUUUCUUUUUUAAGGAUUUGAAUUAGUAUAUGUAAAGUGCUUAACGCAGGAGCUGGCAGAGAAAGUGGAUACUCAGUAAAUAACAGCAAUUGUUAAUUGUAAAAAGCAUGCCACUUAUCUGGUAAAAUCCCCCAUUCUAAGCACCCUGUUAAGUAGUUGGUAAUUCCUCACUUGAAAGAAAUUAAAAAGAAUUUUUGUCAGUUUUUU